AACUCAAAGGACUUGGCGGUGCUUUAGACUUCUCAGGGGAACCUGUUUCAUAAUCGAUAGUCCCGUUACACCUUUCCCUUUAUUGAAAACCAGUAUGUAUACCGUCGUCGUCAGGUAACUUUUAAAAAUAAGGAAGUUAGCUACAAAAUUAUUUAUGAAUUUCAACGUCAGAUCAAGGUGCAGCCUAUAAAAGGGAGAGAAUGGGUUACAAUUAAAAGUUAUAAGUAUGAAAAAAAAUCUGAAAUUU
rnacentral:rRNA from 1 species